rnacentral:misc_RNA from 1 species
GAUGAAGAACGCAGCGAAAUGCGAUAAGUAGUGUGAAUUACAGAAUUCAGUGAAUCAUCGAAUCUUUGAACGCACAUUGCGCCCCCUGGUAUUCCGGGGGGCAUGCCUGUUCGAGCGUCAUUUCACCACUCAAGCCUCGCUUGGUAUUGGGCAACGCGGUCCGCCGCGUGCCUCAAAUCGUCCGGCUGGGUCUUCUGUCCCCUAAGCGUUGUGGAAACUAUUCGCUAAAGGGUGUUCGGGAGGCUACGCCGUAAAACAACCCCAUUUCUAAGGUUGACCUCGGAUCAGGUAGGGAUACCCGCUGAACUUAAGCAUAUCAAUAAGCGGAGGA